ensembl:snRNA Gm22577 predicted gene, 22577
AUGCUUGCUUUUAGAAGCACUAAAAUUGGAAUGAUACAGAAAAGAUUACCAAUAGGCCCCAUGCAAGGAUGACAUGCAAAUUCAUGUAGUGUUCUAUAUUUAA